UAAUCUCACCUCUUCAACUUUAAUGUUGAUGAGUGUGGAGUUGGAUGCUGCCGUUACAUGGACGGCUCGUCUGAAAUGCCUGAGUGUGCCCAGUUCCUGUGGUGUAUUUGGUGUAAUAAGUCUUCACCAGAGAUUGGUCCCCUUGGGAUCACAUCACAUUUGCUUAAGUGCAUGCUUCCAAUCGUCUCUUCAAGAGACAGCUCUUUGACA
rnacentral:misc_RNA from 1 species